rnacentral:rRNA from 1 species
UGAGGAAUAUUGGUCAAUGGGGGCAACCCUGAACCAGCCAAGUCGCGUGAAGGAUGAAGGUCUUAUGGAUUGUAAACUUCUUUUACACAGGAAUAAAUUGGGGGACGUGUCCCCUUUUGCAUGUACUGUAUGAAUAAGGAUCGGCUAACUCCGUGCCAGCAGCCGCGGUAAUACGAAGGAUGCAAGCGUUAUCCGGAAUUAUUGGGUUUAAAGGGUGCGUAGGCGGACUAAUAAGUCAGUGGUGAAAGCCUGCAGCUUAACUGCAGAAUUGCCAUUGAUACUGUUAGUCUUGAGUACAGUUGAGGUAGGCGGAAUGUGUCAUGUAGCGGUGAAAUGCUUAGAUAUGACACAGAACACCGAUUGCGAAGGCAGCUUGCUAAGCUGUAACUGACGCUGAGGCACGAAAGCGUGGGGAGCAAACA